GACGAACGCUGGCGGCGUGCCUAAUACAUGCAAGUCGAACGCUGAAGGAGGAGAUUGCUUCUCUGGAUGAGUUGCGAACGGGUGAGUAACGCGUAGGUAACCUGCCUGGUAGCGGGGGAUAACUAUUGGAAACGAUAGCUAAUACCGCAUAAGAGUAGAUGUUGCAUGACAUUUCCAUAAAAGGUGCAAUUGCAUCACUACCAGAUGGACCUGCGUUGUAUUAGCUAGUUGGUGGGGUAACGGCUCACCAAGGCGACGAUACAUAGCCGACCUGAGAGGGUGAUCGGCCACACUGGGACUGGGACACGGCCCAGACUCCUACGGGAGGCAGCAGGAGGGAAUCUUCGGCAAUUGACGGAAGUCUGACCGGGCAACGCCGCGGGAGGUAAGAAGGUUUUCGGAUCGUAAAGCUCCGUUGUAAGAGAAGAACGAGUGUGAGAGUUGAAAGUUCACACUGUGACGGUAUCUAACCAGAAAGGGACGGCUAACUACGUG
rnacentral:rRNA from 1 species